UCUACAUAUUAUUAGGGCUCGGAGUCAAGGUCACUGGUGGCUGGUAAACUCACAAGUGUAGACAGUGGGCUACAUAAGGGGCAAGUUUUUUGCUAACACCAUGAGGGUCCCUGGCCCAAUGACUGAGUUUGAUAGUAACCCUUGCUACAAUU